rnacentral:lncRNA from 1 species
UUCUCUGUGUCUGAGACUUGACAAGUAACAUCAAACAUGACUCAAGAACAAAGCUAACCAACCAUGGCCUGCAGCAUCCUUCAACCAGAAGUUAUCUUUAGUCAAGCUUUGGAAGUCCUGUCAGCCACAGGGGGAGGACAGUGAAGAAAUUAAGAUAAAGCACAAUUUCUAUGUUGUAAUGAACUUUCUUUUUUUCCUUCACUUUUAUGACGGUUAUUACAAUAUACUGAGAUCAUCAUAAAUGAAGGAAUGAAGGGAACAACAACUUUUAGAGUGUAAAAAGCUCUGCUCUGCUCCCCUCUCUGCUGAGGCCCCCAUGACUCAUCAUGCAAGCCACUCAGGAAAGCUAAAAGCAGGAAGUGCCAGGACUUCAUUCAGCAGGGUACAAAUGCUCGCUGGGAUGCUCAGCAGGUCUCACAGGUAUUGUUUGUACACAACAUUCAAGAGAUUGAAGAGGAAAACACAGUUUGGAGCCAACUGAGUCUGUUUCCAGCACUGCUGAGGAGCCUUCAGCAAUUUUUGUAUUUAAAGAAUUAUAAGUUAUCAUUAAAGAUAUACAUUUCUUUUGUUUCUGAAGCCAAAAAUGUGAACUGGAAUUUUGCAUGGAAAAUGGAAAAAAUGGAAAAUGUCCAUGGAAAGCAGACAAAAUCUUUGAUGCAUGUGAUUCUGCAAAACUUCAAACUAUUACAGCCAACGGGAUAUAUACGAGAGAAAUAACCUUUCAUGAAGUAUUGUGGCAUUUUCAGUUAAUAUUAAGUUAAGAAGUUAAAAAGACAUGCACAAAUGUAAGUUAUUUUUCCAUUUAUGCAGAAUUAUUUUGAUCCAUUUUGAAGCUGAAAUACUUUUUAGUUUAUCUCAGUCAGUUAAUUCAUGCUUAUUAUGCUAAUUUCCCCUUCUGAGUACUUAUUUACAUUUGGACCACUAGGGCACAUAAACCAGAUUUGUGAUUGUUUUCCUUUAAGAGAUAGUUUAUUACAGCUUUACUGCUCAUGUUUUCAUACUGAAUUGACUGUAGAAAUCAAAGAAAUCUGAAGAGUUUGGUCUGUUCAUAAGAAGUGAAAAGUUGUUGACUGAUCUCCUAAAAAAUAAUCUGCAUUUUUGGGCAUGUUUUGUAAUCAACUCUGUGGAAUAGGGCAAUGGCUUCAAGUGGUGACAUGUAAGACAUGUCUCAUUAGGUUCAUGAGAUUACCUAAUAUCAAGGAUAACUCUUUUUUUCUUUCUAAAGCACUGUAGAUAUGUUAAAGAAUUAAUUAAUUUCCCCAGAACUUGUAAGACUACUCUGUAUUUCAUUCCUCAUUUUCCCAAAACAAAAGCUGCAUCACUGAUGUUGAAAAGAUUGAUUUUCAGUGUGACUGAGCUAUGACAGAAGUGUUCACCCAUUCUCAGCCAUUUCUAAAAAAAAGAUAAAUGUGAAAACCUCAAACCAUUAUCUAGUAACAAUGUGAUAUGGUGAUCAUUGUAUGAGAUGAACAUCUAGACAGCUGAGUGCAAGACAGGCUUUUUACUUGUUUUGUCUGCUCUUUAAUUGUGUUACCUGUGUGCAGGUCAUAAUGUAGAUGGCCUUCUGGGCAUGGUUUCUGACUUAGAGACCCAACACAUCUCAUGACUGCCAAUAUGGAUGUAAUGUCUGAAAUACAAGAUCAGAGAAAGCAAGUAUUUUGUUUUCCCAAGAAUAUUCUCCCAACCUCCAAAAAUUUGCAGCUUUAAGAACUCCCAG